UAUGGCAUCUUCUGAUUGGGUGUCUCAGGUCAGGACUUUGUUAUGACAUCUUCUGAUUGGGUGUCUCAGGUCAGGACUUUGUUAUGACAUCUUCUGAUUGGGUGUCUCAGGUCAGGUCUGAGCCAUGAUCAGAAUGUGUCUGUCUAUUUCCAGCCUUGCCAUUUCUACCUGUCCUGAUCUAGUGUUUGACCCCUGACCUCCACACAACGUCUCACUGUCCAUGUCUGCUUUUAGCUCCCACCUCUACUUCACUGUGUUAUAAUGAACCUUAUGCUUGUUAUGUCACCUCUGUAACCAGGUAUCAAACAUCCUGACCUUUCUGACCCUGUCCCAUGGCCCCACUUCACUGUGUUAUAAUGGACCUUAUGCUUGUUAUGUCACCUCUGUAACCAGGUAUCAAACAUACUGACCUUCCUGACCCUGUCCCAUGGCCCUACUUUCUACAACUAAACAUUUAAAUCCUCUAAGUUUUGUUUAGUGUCCACUUACUUAUUUAUUUAUGUAUUUGUUGUAUAUUGGGGUUGUGCAGCAGAGCAUCAUGGGGGUUUGUAUGUGUUGAGAUGAUCACGUUCCAGAUAAAUGGUUGAACUGA